GACGAACGCUGGCGGCGUGCUUAACACAUGCAAGUCGAACGGAAAGGCCCUGCUUUUGUGGGGUGCUCGAGUGGCGAACGGGUGAGUAACACGUGAGUAACCUGCCCUUGACUUUGGGAUAACUUCAGGAAACUGGGGCUAAUACCGGAUAGGAGCUCCUGCUGCAUGGUGGGGGUUGGAAAGUUUCGGCGGUUGGGGAUGGACUCGCGGCUUAUCAGCUUGUUGGUGGGGUAGUGGCUUACCAAGGCUUUGACGGGUAGCCGGCCUGAGAGGGUGACCGGCCACAUUGGGACUGAGAUACGGCCCAGACUCAUACGGGAGGCAGCAGUGGGGAAUAUCGCACAAUGGGCGGAAGCCUGAUGCAGCAACGCCGCGUGCGGGAUGACGGCCUUCGGGUUGUAAACCGCUUUCGCCUGUGACGAAGCGUGAGUGACGGUAAUGGGUAAAGAAGCACCGGCUAACUACGU
rnacentral:rRNA from 1 species